GAUGAACGCUGGCGGCGUGCUUAACACAUGCAAGUCGAACGAAUCUUAGGGAGCUUGCUCCUUAAGGUUAGUGGCGGACGGGUGAGUAACGCGUGGGUAACCUGCCCUAUGCAGGGGGAUAACGUUUGGAAACGAACGCUAAUACCGCAUAAACUAUGGGUGUUCGCAUGAACACUAUAGUAAAGAUUUAUCGGCAUAGGAUGGACCCGCGUUGGAUUAGCUAGUUGGUGAGAUAACAGCCCACCAAGGCAACGAUCCAUAGCCGGCCUGAGAGGGUGAACGGCCACAUUGGGACUGAGACACGGCCCAAACUCCUACGGGAGGCUG
rnacentral:rRNA from 1 species